UACAGAGGGUGCGAGCGUUAAUCGGAAUUACUGGGCGUAAAGCGCACGUAGUCGGCUUUGCAAGUCGGUUGUGAAAUCCCCGGGCUCAACCUGGGAACUGCAUCCGAGACUGCAUUGCUAGAGUAUGGGAGAGGAAAGCGGAAUUUCUGGUGUAGCAGUGAAAUGCGCAGAUAUCAGGAAGAACACCCGUGGCUAAGGCGGUUCUCUAGUACGGUACUGACGCUGAGACGCGAAAGCGUGGGGAGCGAACAGG
rnacentral:rRNA from 1 species